AUUGAACGCUGGCGGCAGGCCUAACACAUGCCAGUCGAGCGGAUGAAGGGAGCUUGCUCCUGGAUUCAGCGGCGGACGGGUGAGUAAUGCCUAGGAAUCUGCCUGGUAGUGGGGGAUAACGUCCGGAAACGGGCGCUAAUACCGCAUACGUCCUGAGGGAGAAAGUGGGGGAUCUUCGGACCUCACGCUAUCAGAUGAGCCUAGGUCGGAUUAGCUAGUUGGUGGGGUAAAGGCCUACCAAGGCGACGAUCCGUAACUGGUCUGAGAGGAUGAUCAGUCACACUGGAACUGAGACACGGUCCAGACUCCUACGGGAGGCAGCAGUGGGGAAUAUUGGACACUGGGCGAAAGCCUGAUCCAGCAAUGCCGCGUGUGUGAAGAAGGUCUUCGGAUUGUAAAGCACUUUAAGUUGGGAGGAAGGGCAGUAAGUUAAUACCUUGCUGUUUUGACGUUACCAACAGAAUAAGCACCGGCUAACUUCGUG
rnacentral:rRNA from 1 species